rnacentral:tRNA from 1 species
GCGCCCGUAGCUCAGCUGGAUAGAGCGUCGCCCUCCGGAGGCGAAGGUCACAGGUUCGACUCCUGUCGGGCGCGCCA